UACGUAGGUGGCAAGCGUUGUCCGGAUUUAUUGGGCGUAAAGAGCGCGUAGGCGGCCCGUUAAGUCGGAUGUGAAAACCCGUGGCUCAACCACGGGCCUGCAUCCGAUACUGGCGGGCUCGAGGCAGGCAGGGGAGAUCGGAAGUCCUGGUGUCAGGCGGUGAAAUGACGCAGAUAUCAGGAGGAACACCGGUGGCGAAGGCGGGUCUCUGGGCCGUAACUGACGCUGAGGAGCGAAAGCAUGGGGAGCGAACAGG
rnacentral:rRNA from 1 species